UUCAUGGACGCGAUUAAUUACUUGAAGCGAUACAACUAUAACUCGAUACGAAGUACAAAAAAACUAACGUUAGAUAAAGUGGGAAUAUGUAAAUAUCCAUUAAAAAAAGACUGUGAUGGAUAAGAUCAUGAUUAAGGCAACAACUGCAGCCUGUGAACGACUCAGGUACGUUGAAGAAUCCACACAGUCGUCUGUCAUCUCUCUUCCAUUCUCAGAGGGGUUUCCUGCACCUGCUUUCUUCCUUUGUGGUGCUAAUCAGCUAACCCAACUCGGAGAAUGACAUGAUACCACUGCAAAAGAUGGCACUCUCAUUGACUGACAACGGAGAUAAACAUUUUCCAGAGUGCUGGCUGGACGACAGUCUCGCAGCAAAUAAUAGUACAUAUAUAAAAAUGACACUUUAACCAUAAAGAAAGCACUCUG